UACAGUUCUUCUUUUGGCACUUACUUUUGUGCUCUGUUUAAGGUAGAAAUGUUACAGAGACAUCCAUCAGUCUUAAAUAUUAUGGGCUUUUAACUAGCUAUAUCACCAAACAGGAACCUGAGCUGUCAGAAGCAAUGUUGGGAAUUCUUCUAGUCCAUAUACUUUCUAAACAAACAGCUUAUAUGUUUCUUAAAUCUUCUAAAGUCUUGAGAAACUGAAUGUCCAAAUUCAGUUUCAGCUUGCUUAUUUAUAUUUUUCUCUUAAUUGUUACAAUUGCAUUGCAGGAAGGGUAUUGUUUUUAAAGGAUAUUUAUUACAAAUUUUGAUUUGAGUUGUUGUUCAGCAGAGUACUUCAAAAAAAGGAAGGCGGCUCCCAUCUGCCACUUCAGCCCUUGAAACAACUGUACAAAUUACAGAAUACUGCACAGCCAGAAGAUUGACGUGUCUAACCACUGGCCAGGACCAGAUGCCUCAGAAGGUUACAGAGUUCAGUGACUGCCCCUAACACUGCUUCCUUCUACUUCCCUGUAAACAAGGAUUAGCUUAAAACUUUGAAGCACAAUGUUUGUCUGCUGCAUUAUCCAGAUUCUUUGAAACACUUCUGUGACCCUUAUGUUUUUACUGAUUUAAAGAUAUAAUAGUGGGAUUAUUUUAAGUAGCAAAUUUUAUGUGUAUUAUCUACUAACCACAGACUGUGUCAAUGCUAGUGAAACAUACUGGGUUUGCUGUAAAUGAGACAAAUAAAACUUUGCUUAGCCAAGCUGUGAGAACUGAGAAUGCAAAAGAGAAGAGGCAAAGCGGAAACAAGUAGAUGAAAAUUUUAAGUAUUUCUCAAUAAUAAAGAAUGAGACAGACACACUUAUGGAACAUAUACUGACUGAUACUGUUAUAUGUGGACACUAACAAGUCUUGAACAUAUAUCAGUGACAUUAGAUGCAGAUUUUAACAUUUAUCUUUUACUGGUUCUUUCCAGAAAACUUUGUAUUUUUACAAAACAAGGCUCCAAACAAUCUUCCUACCCUGCCCCCCUCCAGUGAUCAGCUUUCUGCUAAUCAUCUUUCACAUGGAGGGGGGGGAAGUACAGUAAGAAUUUAAAAAACCUUUUCAUAAAUAAAAUCAAUUCAUUUGCUAGAAUAAAUAAAUCACCAAUUCUCCGAUCUUUCCAACCUGCCUUUCUACAAAAAGCAAUGAAAGCUUAUUGAAAUCUAUAGUUUUUGAAUGUCAGUGCCACUGAACAGUCUAGUCAUCUUUCCAACCUUCUUGUUUCCAGUUGCUUCUAGGUAUAUUCUGUUGUCUUAGUGCAUUCAGUGGUGCUGACAGUAUCUUGUAGUGGUGGUUAAAGAUGAAAUGUUUGCUGAUUUUUAUUAUCUGUCAGCUGCCUUUUAGAAAAAUGACACAGAGAUGCUUAUCUCUCCUCUGAAAAUAUACAUAGGCCUUAGGAGCACGUCACUGAAAAGGUGGCUUCUUUCUCUCGCUUUCUUCAGGACGUGUUGCUACUACCUCUGUAAGCUGAAGUAGUUUGGAUUGUGUUUGUGUUUUCAAAAUCCCAAACAUGUAAAUUGUUACUGCAACAUACUAUGUAACAUUUACUUAAUUCUCUAUGGCUUUCCUCCCUACUCCUAAAAACCAAGAUUUGUUGAUGGCCUUUACUUACCCAGAUCUUUUCUGUUCUUCAUUAGGAAAGUGUUAAUCUCCGUAUAUGGAGCACUUAUAUCCCUCUAGAUUAUCAGUUAGUAUUAGCAGAUGCUAGGGGAGAGAAUUGUGUAGUUGUGGGAAACCUGUAAAUGGGAAUUUGCUCAAAUAAAUUUGGUGGGAAAUAGAAGCUUUUAGAACUUUAGUGUUAAGAGCAUUGCAUUGUGUUACUUGGACAAAGAUCAACGUCUGUAAGACGCUUAUAAAUAAUGAUGAGAAGCCUGCUUUCUUCUGUCAUUCAUACUAAAAACAGAAGAUAAUUUAAGGCAAAAAAAAAUUUCUCAUGUUACUUUUCUUAUAGAUACUACAGAAAUGUGUGCUUAUUCAGCUAUGAAUUGGUAUGGUAUAGUACAGAGCUCAACCUAAGGUUUUCAGAACUCUUUAUCGGUUACUAGCCAACGUAAGUAGGGAGGAAGGAAGUCUUUAGCAAGUCUAAAAGAAGACGGAGGUAGAAGAAUCUUAUGGAAGAUUGCUUUAAGAAGUAACACUCUUCACAACCAUGAAAUUCUUAAAUUGUUUUAAAUUGCCAAAGGCUUAAGACACUAUUUUAGUUUAUCUUUUGUUACUGAUAUAUCAGCUGUUCCUAUUUACUAAUCUUAUGCUGUCUGUAAUACCUGUUACAUUUGCCGUUUUCCAUUUAAUCUGUUUUCUAAGUGUAGUGGGCUUGAUUGUGGAAAAGAGUAGUUCGUAGCCUCAUUAGCAUUGUUAGGAUGUGAACAGCAGAAUAUGAACACAUGAUCAAUGGAAAAAAUGACUUGUGCUGCAUUUGUAACUGACAUCACCUUAGCUGGACCACAGAUGUGAUUCCAUCUGGCAAUUCCUGUGCUGCUAAUGAUAACAACACUCAAGUCUUGCAGUGUUCUUUGAUCAGUAGCUUUCAGGGACAUGCAAACGCUGUUGUACUAGUCCUACAAACAGGGAAACUCUGGCGUGGGUGAGGUGGCAAACCCACGAAUCGCAGCAGGUGCACGUUGGAGCCACCACAGAGUGGGCAUCUUGAGUCUGUGUCCAGUUUUCCCUGCUCACUGAACCAUGCUCUGUGGAGCCAAGCUGGAUGUAAUGAUUUUCCUUGUAACAAAAGACUCUGCAUAGAUGGAAUAACAGAUGCUUUGAAAACUAAAAGUGUUUUCAAUAAUAAAAUGAUACUGGAUAUAACUGA